AGCUCUGACUGGCAGUCUUCGAGUGAUGUAACAGUCGAAGCGGGGAGAGUUUUAUUUGGCCACAGAGACUGUUGGAGACAUGAUUGCUGGCCAGGCGGCUGUCCAUCUCCUUGUGAGUGUCCAAGCCCUUUUCAACGGAUAUUUGGAAUAAAUAACUGUCGUUGAUGGCAUUCCUAAUAAACUCGUGAGUUUG